ACUGGUAUACUUUUAAUUACAUUUUCUCUGUACUUGUUGCUGGAAUUAGAAGGAAAAUGGACUUUUGUAAACUGGUUUUUAUAGAAUAAACUUAUUAAACUCUUUUUCUUAAUUUAACUAUGAAUUCCUAGAGCUUUCUAUAUAGACAGUAACACUAUUCAGAAAAUAAUGCUAGCUUCACUGCUCUGGCCAGGUCUGCAUGCACAGCAUCUAACAGAAGCUGAGGAAUGGCGCAUCCUUUCCUUGUUCCUGGUCUCAAAGGAGGACUUUCAAAAUGCUAAGGUGAAGGAAUCAAGAAACAAGUGAUUUGCUGAAUGUUGUAUAAGUGGCAUUUUGUAUGCUGAACCCAAGUCCACAGACUCAAAAUUUCUGUUUUUGUUCAUACUUUUAAAAAGAGCAUUUAAUUCACAAGCCAAAUCCUGUUGGCAAGACACUUCCUAAGGAGCUGACAGCUAUGUACAGGAAGCCUUUACCAAUUAAAAGAGGCUGAAUAUGAGAGAAGAGAGUCUGAAGAUUUAAGAAAAGAGCCAUCAAAAAACCCGAAAUCUUGACAUUUGCAACAAUGUGGAUGGAA